rnacentral:piRNA from 1 species
GUGAAGACAAGAACCCUGCUCCUCUGC